CCGGAUAUAGCAACUCGCACAAAUGCCUUCGGGUCUUAGCCCGGAUACAGUCACUAGCACAAAUACCUUCGGGACUUAGCCCGGAUAUAGUCGCUAGCAUAAAUGCCUUCGGGACUUAGCCCGGAUAUAGUCACUAGCGCAAAGGCCUUCGGGACUUAGCCUGGAUAUAGUCACUAGCAUAAAUGCCUUCGGGACUUAGCCCGAAUAUCAUCCGAAUAAUCAUGCACAUAUAUCAAUAAGUCAUAAC
rnacentral:lncRNA from 1 species